rnacentral:snRNA from 1 species
GCUCACGCCCGGUCGUAC